rnacentral:rRNA from 1 species
GGUGCAGCAGCUGGGAAUUUUCUGCAACGUACGAAGGUAUGACAGAAAGAGUCAGAGUGCUUUUCAUAAGAAAAGCUUGUCCCAAAUGUAAAAAGUUUGGUGAAUAAGGACCGGGUCAGACGAGUGCCCGCCGCCGCGGUUAUACUCGCGGUCCAAGUUGCAGCCAUCAUUAUUGGGUCUAAAACAUCCGUAGCUUGGGUAAUAAGUUUCUUGUGAAAUUCCAUGUCUCAAAUAUGGAGCGGGCAAGAAGUACUGUUAAACUAGAGACUGGAAGACGUAAGAAGUACGUUUGGAGUAGCGGUAAAAUGUGUUAAUCCCAGGGGGACUAACAACAGCGAAGGCGUCUUACGAGGACAGUUCUGACAGUAAGGGAUGAAAGCUAGGGGAGCAAAAGGGAUUAGAUACCCGGGUAGUCCCAGCAGUAAACAAUGCACAUUAAACGUUAGUACGUCCUCGAGAGGUGUUAGUGCUGAAGAGAAGUCGAAGAGUGUGCUACCUGGGAAGUAUAGUCGCAAGGCUGAAACUUAAAGGAAUUGGCGGGGAGACACCACAACGGGUGACGCGUGCGGUUCAAUUAGAUUCUACAGCCG